rnacentral:rRNA from 1 species
AGUGAACGCUGGCGGCGUGCUUAACACAUGCAAGUCGAACGAGAACGGAUUAUAGCUUGCUAUAAUUGUCAGCUAAGUGGCGCACGGGUGAGUAAUGUAUAGGUAAUGUGCCUCUUACUAAGGGAUAACAAAUGGAAACGUUUGCUAAUACCUUAUACUCCUUAUUAACAGAAGUUAAUAAGGGAAAGAUUUAUUGGUAAGAGAUUAGCCUGUAUUGUAUCAGUUAGUUGGUGGGGUAAUGGCUUACCAAGACUAUGACACAUAACUGGUUUGAGAGGAUGAUCAGUCACACUGGAACUGAGACACGGUCCAGACUCCUACGGGAGGCAGCAGUGGGGAAUAUUGCACAAUGGACGAAAGUCUGAUACAGCAACGCCGCGUGGAGGAUGACACAUUUCGGUGCGUAAACUCCUUUUAUAUGAGAAGAUAAUGACGGUAUUAUAUGAAUAAGCACCGGCUAACUCCGUGCCAGCCGCCGCGGUAA